UACGUAGGGUGCGAGCGUUGUCCGGAUUUAUUGGGCGUAAAGAGCGUGUAGGCGGCCAAGCAGGUCCGCUGUGAAAACUCGAGGCUCAACCUCGAGACGUCGGUGGAAACCGUUUGGCUAGAGUCCGGAAGAGGAGAGUGGAAUUCCCGGUGUAGCGGUGAAAUGCGCAGAUAUCGGGAAGAACACCCGUGGCGAAGGCGGCUCUCUGGGACGGUACUGACGCUGAGACGCGAAAGCGUGGGGAGCGAACAGG
rnacentral:rRNA from 1 species